rnacentral:lncRNA from 10 species
GUCUCCUGUGUUGAAACCUCCACUUUAUGUUGGAAAGCUACUUCCUAGGUUUGCUUUUCAGAAGCUUGCUGGCCUGCGGAAUGGGCUGGACCAGGGCUGGUUCUUAAAGAACCAGGCAGCUAGCAGUCUCCAGGCUCCAAACUCCUGAUGGCGAAGAGGAAUGCAGAGCUGGAGGUCUCACUACAUUGCCAGACUGGAGUACAGCGGCAGUUUACCAUCACUGCACUUACAAACCUCCAACUCCUGGUGCUCAAGCCAUCUUCCUGACUCAGCCUCUCAAAUACCUCAAAGGACUACCGGAGCUCCCCAUGCAUCGCGCUUUUUUCUACUUUUUCGUAAGCUAUUGGUUUCACCAGAGGUGUGGUGUUUUUUUUUUUCAUCACUUAAGCUUUAGGCCCCUGCCAAGCCCUUGUACCUGAUUUUAUAAUUUCCUACCUGUGUAAUUAGAGAAAGCUAUAAAUGUGUAGGCUUCAAACCCACAAAACCUGUGUUUGCCUCUGCUCCUAAUAAGGCUGUCCUCAAGGUAAGCCUUUUUAUCUCGUUCCAAAUCUCUCAUGUCCCACGUCAUUAAUCAUACAAUUCCCUGUCAGUUCUAAUUACCUUUGUAUAACACCUCAAGUAUGUUCUGUGCCUAGAACUCUCAGGAAGUAAGAAGGCAAAUAAUUCUGUGUCUGGAAUUGGUUCCUUCU